rnacentral:tRNA from 1 species
GUGGUUAGGGCGACCGCCUGGGAUGCCAGGGGUUGCAGGUUCAAACCCGGUAG